ACCAUUUCCAAUAACCGUAUCUAAAUUCCAACAGGUAGGGUUUUGGGCGCCGCACCAUAUCAAUAACUUUUUAGGAGAUUAGGGUUUCUAUCAACAAAUUCCAGACACUAUAAAUUCUCUCAUACCGUGACCUUAUUUCCCAUCUUCGCCUCUUUCGCGAGGUGACGAUAUAAUCAUGAAGUCUGUCAAUCCACUGACGACAGUAUGAUGUCAAUCCAUGAAUCCCGACAGGUUCUGAUCGCUGCGACUCUAUAUAUGUUUAUAUUUUUAUAGAUUUGAGCCGGAUUAAAUUAAUUUUUAUUAAUUUAUUUGAGGACAAAGGAUGAAUCUCAUAAUCAAAUGGGUAAUUUGCGUCUGAAAUUUUCAUUGAUGCUACAUCACCUUGGAGAACUGAUGUCCCUUCCAAUUUUGCUUUCUUUUUUCUCUGUUAUUUACUGCAGAAGUAAUUAUUUUCAUUUUCUAUUAGUGAUAAAAAUAUUGAUUUUUAGAAAUUACUCUAUAAGUAAAUAUGUUUAAUAUUUGUUACCAAGAUUUUUAAACUUUGCCAAAACUACGUGAAGGCAUUGGCUAGACGCCUUAAACUAAGUUUAAGUUUUAGUUGUCAUAAUCAUGAGGGGUAGCUCGGGUUUGUUCCUCAAUGAUCAUCAAUUUUGACUCCCUUUAGGACAAGUGAGGACCGAUUGUAAACUUAGGGUUCUGUGGAAUUAGUCGAGGUGUGCGUGAGUUGAUCCGGAUUUCACAAUCAUAAAAAUAAUAAUAAUAUUGUUAGUUUUAGUUAUUAAAGGAGAGUGUUGAUAUAUACAUUGUGUUUGAUUGUUUAUUAGAAAAACCAUAAGAGUCCUGAAUGUAUAUCCAUUUGGAUUAUAAGAAACUGGUAUGGAAUGUUGAACAAUGCUUGGUAUAUACUCCUUGUAUAUCCAUUUGGAAUAUAAGAGACUGAUGUGAAAUAUUGAACAAUGCUUGGUAUGCACUUUUGUCUACACCAAGUUAUACAGUUUUUCGCAUGUGAAAGGGAUUCACGUUGAAUAUUUUAUUUGCGGGUCCCCUCAUAUGAGAGGGUUGUAUAUUUGUACAGCACGUAACCCUGUUAAUGCAACCAUAUGUUACAUAGCCAAUGUGCCAUUUCUUCUAUCAUAUUUUUUUCAAGCAUUUGUUUGGUAGUAAUUUUUAGAGAAUUUUAAUUCAAAUAUGGUCUUCAUACAUACAGUAUAUGGAUUCAGAAGCAAUAAUUGACUGGGGUUGUAGAAAGAUAUUAUCAAAUAUGUCCUUUCCUCUAUGGUGUAGAAUGGGAGUGGGAUUUUUAUAGAAUGACAUUGAAGUAAAUAUCAUUGGAGAAAUGCAGUCAAUUCUUCUUAAGUUGUUUGAUGAAAUUUACUGUAUAAUGGUUAUAUUUUAGAUCAAAUUAAAAUUCAAUAAAAAUGGCUUUAAGACAAGGGUUUUUUGUUGCUGUACAAAUGUACAGUUCUCUCACAUGAGGGAAUUCGUAAAUGAAAUAUUUAAUGUUUUUUCUUAUAUGUGAGUGGGCUGUAUAACUUGGUGUUUACAAGAAUUUAUACCAAAUAUUGAUCUGCAUUAAUAUUCCAAGGUAAUUAGGUUGUGUAACUUGAUGUACAUCAAGCAUUGUUCUUUAGACUAUUGUUAAAUAUAAGUGGUUGGUAAGAUGUCACCUCAAUUAUUUUGUUAAUUGUUGCAGUGAAUCUCGACAGGGAAGCUGAUCAUAUUAUUGAAUUGCAUGUGGCAAAUUAUCAUUCAUCUAUUU